UACGUAGGGAGCGAGCGUUGUCCGGAAUCAUUGGGCGUAAAGAGCAUGUAGGUGGAUCAAUUAGUCUGCUGUGAAAGUCAAAGGCUCAACCUUUGAAAGCCGGUGGAUACUGUUGAUCUAGAGUACGGAAGAGGCGAGUGGAAUUCCUGGUGUAGCGGUGGAAUGCGCAGAUAUCAGGGGGAACACCAAUAGCGAAGGCAGCUCGCUGGGACGUUACUGACACUGAGAUGCGAAAGCGUGGGGAGCAAACAGG
rnacentral:rRNA from 1 species